ACGUUCCCUGCCGUAGACGAGGAUCAAACAAGGCCGCCUAGUAAUUUCUCGAUGGACAAGCGUGGGAACGGCUUCUGUACAUCAUUCAUACUCUGUGUGUUUCUUCUCGCGAGCUUUGCUACCCAUGUGCACUGCAGAAUAUUGGAGGACGUGGAAAUCAUUAAGAUUAAUUUAAAGGGAAUGUGUGUCCCUCAAGAUAGUGGCUUCUGCUGUAUACUAAACGAUGAAUGCUAUCUCACAGCCGACGAGUGCAUGACUGAUUGUCCCAAGGCUUCUCCCCUGGAACUAGGGGCGACAUGGACGCCAUCACCACCUUUCUAAUCUGAUCUGCCCCCUAUGAAUAAGUUAGAUAAUAAUAAUCUGUGUUUCAGAAAAUAAGAAUUGGGAGUUCUUUCUCCUCUCCUCUCGAAGGCUCCCCCACCACCCCUUGAGAGUCAUCCACACUUUCCCGGAUCCGAUCCCUCUUGCCGCCGGCGCUCGUGCUGGUCGGUAUAGAGAUGGAUUAGGAUGCCGGCCUCUCUUUGUACAGAGUAGUUUUAGGAUCUCCCUUGCCCUUAUGGUGGUAGUUCUUGCCUUUUUGGCUGUUGUUUGGAGCUUGGCCAUGGCGGAUGUGAGCUCUGCCUCGUGGCUGCUGGCUCUGCUCCCCGGUGGCUGUCUAUGGUGGCCGGCGACCUUGGGGGCCGAUUCAGGUGAUGUCUCCAUGAAUAAGCUCACGGGCUACGGUAGACCUCGUUUUUGGGUGGAUUUGGAGGCCUUUCUUCUUUCUCCUGGCCGUCAUGGUGACAGGGCAGAUGGGGAAGAAAACCUCGUCCAGCUGCUCAGAUCCGAGGAUCUGCGGGAAGACGGAGUACAUGCAGCAUGUCCUCCGGAAAUUGCAAUCUAUGGCCAACGAGGCCACUCCACGCUCGGUUGAUGAAUCCGAGCUUUAUCUUCCUCCAGGCUGCUAUGCCGAUGCGAAGGAUCUUCGAUCUCGGUGCAGGUUUCGCCGCCAGCUCCACUCCAAGUGGUACAGUCCCCGGUAGUGUUGCUGGUUCCUGCGCUUUGAGGUCUCCAAGGAGCUGCGGUGAAGACGAUGGACCUGAUUGCUUUUCUCUAGUUUUCUUUGAGGUCCUGUUUGCAAAGUGUGAGGAUUGGAAUGUAGUUUUUCGUUUCUUUGGGAUCCUCCGUGUAGUAGUCAUGUACUCACCGCUUAUCUAAAUAUCUAAUGCAGUUUCCUGGCCCUUUAGGGCCAUUCCCUGUUCAAAAAAAAAAUAAGAAUUAUAUCUUUAUCAUUAAAUUAGAAUAUGUAACCGUCUCGUGUCAUACUUGGGCUUUCUUUUUUUA